rnacentral:lncRNA from 1 species
UGAAUGGGCAGGCUAGCUUGGCUAAUAGUAUCUAUGAUUUAGCUACUCUAGAGCCUUCCAAAGGUAUCAGGUGUGCCUUAUCCAUUAGCACAGAGAGGCACAGGGCUGAGCAGGUGAAGGGAGUACACCGCUGUGGUUUGACCUGCUCAAUAUCCCUUCUUCCUGAAACAGAAUCUAUCUUUUCUUCUUGGGGAGCCACCCCUCCACUACUUUUAGCCCUUGGCUUAGGUUCUUCUUUUAAGACUCAGUUCUACCAGGAGGUAACCUCUGGUAAAUUCUCAAAUCCUAGUGCCAGGGUUAGGCAUGCGAUCAAGGCAAUAUAUCCAAGAAGCGGUAUGGGAGGCAAUUUGAGCCAAUGAGAUGCAACUCAAUACCUGGAGCCCCUGGGCCAGAGACUUGGAGUUUGUAUAUCUGCAAUUGUUGGGGUUUUGCCUUCUCUCCAAGAAAGCCUGAGUGAGGAUGAAGACAACAGGAUAAAGCAGAAACGAGAGGGAGAGAUGGAUUCCUCCUGACACCAUUUGAGCUCCUCCUUCUCCAGCUGAGCGUGAGCUAGCCCUGCAUUUUCCCGUUGCGUGGGCUCGUAAAUUCUCUUUGUGCUUGAGUGGGUUUGAGGAGCAUUUCUCAAGGAUGGAUCAUAACUGACUAUUGUGUGUCUCAAGGUUGGCUCCAAACCAGCAGAAGCUGAAUAAAGAACUGUGAACUUGGAAUGACUGUGGGACGCUAGGCUCUUACUGGUCCUAACUGAAGACUUUUUCCCAACAGCGAGCAAUGGGGCUUCUUUUAACCAACUCUAUUUACAACCUUAGAUUCAUUCCGUUCUUUGCAAAGUACUGGAUUUCAACACUUAAUUAGCAAUAACCACAUGAACCUACCCUGGCAAGCCCUUUAACAACUCUGAAUUUUCCCUCUCAGUGAGCUACUACUUAAUUCAGUAAAUUUCUCCCUAUCCUGUAUUCCUGUGGCUAGCAAGUCAAUAGACUCAGCUUUUAUUUUAUUUUGAGUUGGAGUCUCGCUCUGUCAUUCAGGCUAGAGUGCAGUAGCUUCAUUUUGGCUCACUGCAACCUCUGCCUCCCGGGUUCAAGCGAUUCUCUUGCCUCAGCCUCCUGGGUAGCUGGGACUACAGGCAUGUGCCACCAUGCCCAGCUAAUUUCUGCAUUUCUAGUGGAGAUGGGGUUUCACCAUGUUGGCCAGGCUGGUCUUGAACUCCUCACCUCAAGUGAUCCACCGGCCUCGGCCUCCCAAAGUGCUGGGAUUACAGGCAUGAGCCAGUGCUCCUGACCUCAACUUUUAAUUUUUAUCUAUCGAUCUAGUCUAUUAUUACCCGCUACUUACCUACCCAUCCAUCCAUUCAUCCAUCCAUCCAUCUGCCCAUCCUUUUUUUUGUUUAUUAGCUCUGGUCUUUGUUAUAUUUGUUGAUAGGCCCAAGUAAAUUAGUAUGUGUAAAACUCACUUAAAACAGUGCUUAGCACAUGGUAAGCAUAAUAUGUGAUAGCCCUUAUGAUCUAGUAACUCACCAGUAUCUUGUGUGUAUUAGAACAAUGUGUCUCUGUAAUAUUUUAAUUAUAUCUCUAUAAGAGCAUACAUAAAUGACAAUAUAUAAAUCUCAAUAACAGAAUGUUUCUAACCCAAGUUUUAAGUAAUGAUAUGUGUUCAGGAAUACUUCAUCUGGCAUCUAGGGGAAUGGUUGGGAAGAUUUUGAGCUUCUCCAGUGGGAAAAAGGCUGGCAUAUUCAGGUCUAACUUCAGAGUCAAAGUCUUUGAAGUUAAUAAAUAGUUUUUAAUUUUGAAUAAAAUAAAAACUAUUUUUUUUAGUUUGAAGAAAGACUAUUCAUUCUCCAGCUUAUGAACUUUUUUUUUUUUUUUUUGAGACAGAGUCUCGCUCUGUCGUCCAGACUGGAGAAAUGGCGCAAUCUUGGCUCACUAUAACCUCCACCUCCCGGGUUCAAGCAAUUCUCCUGCCUCCACCUUCUGAGUAGCUAGGAUUACAGGCACCCGCCAGCACGUCCAGCUGAUUUUUGUAUUUUUGUAUAAACGGGGUUUCACCAUGUUGGCCAGACUGGUCCUGAACUCCUGACCUCAGGUGAUCCACCCACCUUGGCCUCCCAAAAUGCUGAGAUUACAGGCGUGAGAUACCAUGCCCAGCCGAACUUAAGAACUUUUGAAAAUUAUAACUCUGAGCUUUUUAAGGACACAGGGUUAAAAGGUGGUUUGUUGGCAGAUGGGCAUCAGCAAAGCCUGUUUCGAAAGCUCAGCAUGAGUGCACACAUGCAAUCAGCCUUGGCCUUGCACUGUAAAUUUUUAGCAAAGUACACAAGUAUGGGGUUUUGUUGCCAAGGAAAUGGCUUUGUUUCUCUGAGGAAGGAGACAUUGAGGACACUUCUCUGUAAGUGAUCACCGAGCAAGGCCAUAUUGUUUCCCAGACCUGCUGUUCUGUACAACGUGAAGCUCUUCGGUCCUGUCUGUGCUUCUCUGGCCAGUCUUCAUUACAGUGGCAGCAGGCAAGCCAGGCUUUUGCUGACAUCUACCUUCCCUUUCUACUUGCCUAGGCAAUUGUGGCUUGUGUUUGAACUGAACGAUGAAGAAAGAUCUCAGGCAGUUUUGAGUCAGCCUUCAGGUUCCUCAGAAACUUUAAACACAGGAAUCAAUGAGGUCACUGAGGUCAGGAACUCUAGGCGCCCCUGCCUCAUGCUUGGAGCAUCAACUUCUGGAGGUCAAGGGUAGGACUAUCAGGGACUGCAUGACGAAGAUGAUAGUGGUAAGAGGUGACAGCGUGCUGGCAGUCCUCACAGCCCUCGCUCGCUCUCAGCACCUCCUCUGCCUGGGCUCCCACUUUGGCGGCACUUGAGGAGCCCUUCAGCCCACCGCUGCACUGUGGGAGCCCCUUUCUGGGCUGGCCAAGGCCGAAGCCGGCUCCCUCAGCUUGCAGGGAGGUGUGGAGGGAGAGGCGCGAGCGGGAACCGGGGCUUUGCAGGCGGCGCUUGCGGGCCAGCUGGAGUUCCGGGUGGGCGUGGGCUUGGCGGGCCCUGCACUCCGAGCAGCCGAGUGGCCCUGCCGGCCCCGGGCAAUGAGGGGCUUAGCACCCGGGCCAGCGGCUGCGGAGGGUGUACUGGGUCCCCUAGCAGUGCCGGCCCACCGGCGCUGCGCUCGAUUUCUCGCCAGGCCUUAGCUGCCUUCCCGCCGGGAAGGGCUCGGGACCUGCAGCCCGCUAUGCCUGAGACUCCCACCCACUCCAUGGGCUCCUGUGCGGCUGAGCCUCCCCGACGAGCGCCGCCCCCUGCUCCAGGGCGCCCAGUCCCAUCGACCACCCAAGGGCUGAGGAGUGCGGGUGCACGGUGUGGGACUGGCGGGCAGUUCCACCUGCAGCCCAGGUGCGGGAUCCACUGGGUGAAGCCAGCUGGGCUCCUGAGUCUGGUGGGGACGUGGAGAACCUUUAUGUCUAGCUCAGGGACUGUAAAUACACCAAUCUACACUCUGUAUCUAGCUACUCUGGUGGGGCCUUGGAGAACCUUUAUGUCUAGCUCAGGGAUUGUAAAUGCACGAAUGUGCACUCUCUAUCUAGCUCAAGGUUUGUAAACACACCAAUCAGCACCCUGUGCCUAGCUCAGGGUUUGUGAAUGCACCAAUCAACAGUCUGUAUCUAGCUACUCUAGUGGGGCCUUGGAGAACCUUUAUGUCUAGUUCAGGGACAUACACCAAUCAGCACUCUGUAUCUAGCUCAAGGUUUGUAAACACACCAAUCAGCAACCUAUGUCUAGCUGAGGGUUUGUGAAUGCACCAAUCCACACUCUGUAUCUAGCUACUCUGGUGGGGACUUGGAGAACCUUUGUGUGGACACUCUGUAUCUAGCUAAUCUGGUGGGGACGUGGAGAACCUUUGUGUCUAGCUCAGGGAUUGUAAAUGCACCAAUCAGCGCCCUGUCAAAACAGACCACUGGGCUCUACCAAUCAGCAGGAUGUGGGUGGGGCCAGAUAAGAGAAUAAAAGCGGGCUGCCCCAACCAUCACUGGCAACCCACUCCAGUCCCCUUCUGCACUGUGGAAGCUUUGUUCUUUUGCUCUUUGCAAUAAAUCUUGCUACUGCUCACUCUUUGCGUCCACACUGCCUUUAUGAGCUGUAACACUCACUGCGAAGGUCUGCAGCUUCACUCCUGAAGCCAGCCAGACUACGAACCCACCGGGAGGAACGAACAACUCCAGAUGCGCCACCUUAAGAGCUGUAACACUCACCGCGAAGGUCCCGCAGCUUCACUCCUGAGCCAGCAAGACCACGAACCCACCAGAAGGAAGAAACUCCGAACACAUCUGAACAUCAGAAGGAACAAACUCUGGACACACUGCCUUUAAGAACUGUAAUACUCACCGUGAGGGCCCGCGGCUUCAUUCUUGAAGUCAGUGAGACCAAGAACCCACCAAUUCCAGACACAGUGGGAUCACAGAGAGAGCCAACAGUCCAGGCCAUGACAAGCUGGCACCCAGCUCUGCUUCACAUGAUCAAACUGCAUCACGGAAGCUGCACACGAUGACACCCUGUCUGGAAAGUUUUUGCCAGAGGGCAAAAGACUGCAAGCAGAAUAUCCCUUUGCCAUUUCUCAUUCAGGACUGGCCGUUGUCUGAAAGCAAACCUCAAGGACAGGACUUCUGGACUCCGCAGCCACUUCAGGCUGCUGCUCCAUCGCAUGAAUUCCAGCAGGUGGCGCUGCACCCCGCGCGGACCCGGCUUGCCUCUCGGCCCCAGGGAGGUCGGUUGAUGAGCAGUCGGGAAGUGGGUCUGCGCGCACCCCGCUGCAGCUGUGGCAAACGCAAACGAUGACACACAGGCUUGACGAGGGCCUUUGUCAGAAGCAAUGGGGAUCUGGCGUCACCGCACAAUGGAAAACAAAGUGCUUCUGCCUGGCUGGCCAGAAUGCACGUUUGCUCACUAUUGAUGCUGGGGCAUUUACAGGCAGAAUGAGUUCAUGUGAAAUUUCAGGAUCUGCCAUGACUCAGAUUCACUUUCUGUAAACCAGAGUCAACAUUACAUUUCCCUUUACUCUGGGCCAUUCCUUGAAUUUUUAGGUCACCAGUUGUUUUUGUACUAACUGAAGGGAUUUGAGUAUUUCACAAGCACCUUAUUUUUAUUAGCAUUUUUAGGGCAUUACCAAUUUGGGACGGAUCUGUAGUGUGAGAGAUUGUUGUCACUCUUAGCUCCAAACAUAGGUUGACUUUAUAUAUUAUUUACAUGUUCAGAAUUAUACUGUGUAGAAAUUCAAAUGAAACUUGCAAAAUACUUUUCUGGCAGGAAGCCCUGGAGAGGAUCGUUCAUGGAAACAAGGAUGACGACUGGGGUAAGAAAUGCAGGUGACUCGUGAGUGGUCAGGGAGUGGAAGAGAAGACGGCUGGAAGGUUUUAGCAUUCAGAAAAAAAAUGGAGACAACUAGAGUUGAUCUGAAGAUUAUGGCAGAAUUCAAUAUUGGGGGAAAGAAACAAGAUGGGGGUUAGAAAUUAGAAACAGCAGAGCUCCACAGGUUGGAAAGGUUGGAAAGGAUUUGAGCAAGAGAACAAGGAGCCUGCUAAUAGCACCCUGGGUUUACAUCAAGAGAAGCACCUGGAGAGAAUUAACUCGGGAGGAGGUGGGGGCAUGGGAAACCUUUUCAUCUCCAAGAGCGGGCAGGAACAGCAGCUGGCCUGAACUUGAAGGUACACCAGGUAGCUUGCGUGGGCCAGGAGAAGGUGAUUCUCUUCUAUGCCUCUCUCCAACGCCCUGCUUCUGAUGCUGCUCCUCUACCUGUAUUGAGGGGAAGAUACAUCCCUAAGAAGUUCCCUGAACCCCAUUCUUUGUUGUGGCUAACUGGUCCCCUUGGAAUUUUUCUACUAAUUUUCAAUUCCCCCUCUCACCUGGUGAAAUCUUGAAUCUUACUGUUCAAUAAAAGUUCUUCUACCGAAAUUUC